rnacentral:rRNA from 1 species
AACGAACGCUGGCGGCAUGCCUAACACAUGCAAGUCGAACGCUCCGCAAGGGGAGUGGCGAACGGGUGAGUAACGCGUGGGAACCUGCCCAGUAGUUGGGGAUAACCGCGGGAAACUGCGGCUAAUACCGAAUACGCCCUAAGGGGGAAAGAUUUAUCGCUAUUGGAGGGGCCCGCGUCGGAUUAGCUGGUUGGUGAGGUAACGGCUCACCAAGGCGACGAUCCGUAGCUGGUCUGAGAGGAUGAUCAGCCACACUGGGACUUAGACACGGCCCAGACUCCUACGGGAGGCAGCAGUGGGGAAUAUUGGACAAUGGGGGCAACCCUGAUCCAGCAAUGCCGCGUGAGUGAUGAAGGCCUUAGGGUUGUAAAGCUCUUUUACCGGGGACGAUGAUGACGGUACCCGGAGAAUAAGCCCCGGCUAACUUCGUGCCAGCCGCCGCAGU